UAUUACUCAUCCAUGUGCUUCAUAAAUGUACGCUUGUGAUGUUGAACACCUAAGGUACCAAGUUCGUCAAUGUCAGCCUUGUCUAGAGUGAAAGAAUCAAAAUUCAAGCACUCCUUCAUACGCUCAAUUUUUGAGGUAGUAGUGAUAGGUAUAACGCCUUUAGAAUAGGCCCACUUGAGAAGAAUUUGAGUAUCAGAAACAUGGUACUUGCUCUCCAAUGAUUUAGUGAAUUCAGCAACAGGACCUUGCGCAUCACGAACCAAGGGAGAAAGAGGGCCAUAACCCUCAACGAUAAUUCCUUUACUCUGGCAAAAUUCUACAAGAGGCUUCGCGGCCUUGUAUACUUGAGGGUGAAAUUCGAUUUGGUUGACACGAGGAGUAAUAGUUGAAGUUUUCAACAGCUCCUCUAAGUCGGGAAUACGAAAGUUAGAAACACCAACUGAGUGGACAAGACCGGUUCCCAAAGCCGUUUCCAUUGCUUUCCAACCUUCAGAAAUGGGUAUUUUCUUUUCAUAGAAAGGAAUAGGACUAUGCAAAAGGUACAGGUCCAAAUAGUCAGUACCAAGCUUACGUAAAGAUUCGUUGAGGGCUUCAGGAAUGUUAUCGACAUUAUGCAUAACCUUGGAAGUAAUAAAGAGUUUGCUUCUUGGAACAUUAGCUUCCUUCAAAGCCACCCCAACUUCCUCUUCGUUGCCAUAUACUUCCGCGCAGUCGAUAUGAAUGAAACCAGCAGCAAGUGCAUUCUUUACCGAAUCUACAAUGGUUCGAUUGAUUUCUCCCUUUUCUUUCUUAAACAAAGCUGUACCAACCCCAUAAGCAGGGACGGGAAUCUUAGGGCCCAUAGCAGCGAUAAGCAUGUUGAAAAUGUUAAGAGUACGAAAGAACUUGAAAGUAGAAAAAGAGUAAGCUACAAAGAGGCGCUACUUUAAAAGUUGCAGGAUAAAAAUUGUUAAAUAGAAAUGAAUGGAAUAAACGUUAAACCGAGAUUUUUGCAAGCAAAAGAAAAGAGAAUCGCAGCAAGAAUUAAUAAAUUUCUUCUUUAAAAAUGCUCUGUUUAGGUGAAAAGAGUGCGAGAAAGGGCCGUAUAUCGCUAUUUAUAUAGAUUUCCAAAAACUUAGUCAGAUGACAUCAGCCAAGUCUGGCUUGGCAUACAGAAUAUCUGACUGACGUUGUGCAGCAUCUAAGAGAGGAGUCUUUGGAACUUUAAAAUGAAGAAUUAUCUGAUCAGAUAAGGAACAAACGUGUAACCAAAAGCAGAUUUGUUCCAACUAAACAGUGUAAGUUGAAUAGAAAACAGUUUUACAGGCAAGAAUAAGUUGAACGUUAGAUUCGGUAUUUAAUUGAUUUAGCAAUAUUCAAUUCUUG